UCUCCGUUGGCGAACCAGCGGAGGGACCAUUACCGAGUGCAAACUCAUAACCCUUUGUGAACCUAUAUCUGUUGCUUCGGCGGCUCGCUCUCGGGCGAGCCCGCCGGUAAUAUCAGUAUCUCUGUUUGAACCCGACGAUACUUCUGAGUGUUCUUAGCGAACAGUUAAAACUUUUAACAACGGAUCUCUUGGCUCUA
rnacentral:misc_RNA from 1 species